CGUAGGUGAACUGCGGAAGGAUCAUUACCGAGUCCCUGCCCUCCGGGGUAGACCUCCCACCCUGUCGACUGUGGGGGCUGCURGCGCCACGGGUUACGCCUUAGGCCAGCCCGGGGGUACUGGUAGCACCCAAUCUUGCUUUGGCGGGCCGACCCUGAUGGGGUGGCUCGCCAGCAGACCCCACACUCUAUUCCCCGUCGUCCGAGUCGUAUUAAAUUGUCAAAACUUUCAACAACGGAUCUCUUGGUUCUGGCAUCGAUGAAGAACGCAGCGAAAUGCGAUAAGUAAUGCGAAUUGCAGAAUUCAGUGAGUCAUCGAAUCUUUGAACGCACAUUGCGCCCCUUGGUAUUCCGAGGGGCAUGCCUGUUCGAGCGUCAUUAUCACCCCUCCGGCUCCCUCGGGCUGGGUGUUGGGCCCUGUCGGCGACGGCGGGCCCUAAAUGCAGUGGCGGCACCGCAGUGUUCCGAGCGUAGUCCAUCUCUCUCGCUCUGGGGCAGUGUGGCGGUCGGCCCGUGACACGUAUGCCUCACCAAGCAUACACCCCUCAAGAAGUUGACCUCGGAUCAGGUAGGAAUACCCGCUG
rnacentral:rRNA from 1 species